UUAUAAUCAUAUCAAAAAAUUCAUUUAUUUCAAAAUAGCGGACUCCCGCGACUCCGCGUGGAAUUCAGUUUUUCACAAAUCCCGCGGGAACUAUGGUUUUUUUCGGUAUAAAAAGUAGUCUAUGUGUUAAUCCAGGCUAUAAUCUAUAUAUAUUUAUUUAUAACGCGUGAAAGAGUAACAAACAUUCAUAUCAUCAAAAUCAUCAGAUUUUUGCAAAUUUCGGGAAACCAUGGAUUAUUGUGUUAAUCCAGAGUAAAAUCUAUUAUCUAUUUCCAUUCCAAACUGGCAGAUCACUGGCUGAGAUCUCUUUUAAAAUUCAUUUAUUAUAUUCUUAGGGGUAGAGAUCGAGUUGGAUCAAAGCGAAGCUUGACCGGGUCCACUAAUUAAUAAUUAUUAGAUAAUGGUGAUAAUAAUUAGUCGAAAACUUAAAAUUAAAAAUUUACAUCAUCAUCAUCAUAAUGAGCACUUCUAAUCAAUAAAGAGAAAUAUGAUAUGCUUUAACACGUUGACGGACAGUACUGCCUGUAGGCGUCAAGCCAGUCAGAAGUAAUACGACAGUACGCCCUUCGACGUCGAUCUUUUGACUAGUUUAAACACAGUACGCCAUACGACGUAAAAUUUUACCGGCAAUCAUAAGGAAGGGCAUGUUGUACUGUCACCGAAGAUAUAUUUUAGACUUUGUACUGUCACCACACAAUGUUAAAAAAUCUGUUCAAAGAAAGUACCUGCACUCACACAUCCAAAUUUUAUUGGCACCACCCUUACACACACUACGCCCAUAGCCGUCGUGUUUUCAUACAUUUUGUUUAGUACUGCGCCACGGCGGUGCGCCGACAGGUCGUUACGUGAUUUCGCGCGCAAUUAUUUUUUCGAACAUGGCAUUUUCUCGCAAUUCAUAUGAAAAAGAACAAAAGCGGAUUCAGGACCUAUUUGACGCUGUUUUGACUUCUGAAUCGAGUCAUGACCCCUUCGAAGAUGAUGGAGAAUUCGGAUCCGAUGCCGAUUUUCAACCAUCUGGUGAA